rnacentral:rRNA from 1 species
GAUGAACGCUGGCGGCGUGCCUAAUACAUGCAAGUCGAGCGAACGGACGAGAAGCUUGCUUUUCUGAUGUUAGCGGCGGACGGGUGAGUAACACGUGGAUAACCUACCUAUAAGACUGGGAUAACUUCGGGAAACCGGAGCUAAUACCGGAUAAUAUUUUGAACCGCAUGGUUCAAAAGUGAAAGACGGUCUUGCUGUCACUUAUAGAUGGAUCCGCGCUGCAUUAGCUAGUUGGUAAGGUAACGGCUUACCAAGGCAACGAUGCAUAGCCGACCUGAGAGGGUGAUCGGCCACACUGGAACUGAGACACGGUCCAGACUCCUACGGGAGGCAGCAGUAGGGAAUAUUCCGCAAAGGGCGAAAGCCUGACGGAGCAACGCCGCGUGAGUGAUGAAGGUCUUCGGAUCGUAAAACUCUGUUAUUAGGGAAGAACAUAUGUGUAAGUAACUGUGCACAUCUUGACGGUACCUAAUCAGAAAGCCACGGCUAACUACGUG